rnacentral:tRNA from 1 species
GGAGAGAUGUCCGAGUGGUUUAAGGUGCGGCUCUCGAAAAGCCGUGGGCCUAAACAGCCCCGUGGGUUCGAAUCCCACUCUCUCCG